rnacentral:rRNA from 1 species
GACGAACGCUGGCGGCGUGCUUAACACAUGCAAGUCGAGCGGUAAGGCCCUUUCGGGGUACACGAGCGGCGAACGGGUGAGUAACACGUGGGUGACCUGCCCUCAGCUCUGGGAUAAGCCCGGGAAACUGGGUCUAAUACUGGAUAUGACUCCAUGACGCAUGUUGUGGGUGGAAAGCCUUGUGCGGCUGGGGAUGGGCCCGCGGCCUAUCAGCUUGUUGGUGGGGUGAUGGCCUACCAAGGCGACGACGGGUAGCCGGCCUGAGAGGCGACCGGCCACACUGGGACUGAGACAACGGCCCAGACUCCUACGGGAGGCAAGCAGUGGGGAAUCUUGCGCAAAUGGGCGAAAGCCUGACGCAGCGACGCCGCGUGAGGGAUG